rnacentral:misc_RNA from 1 species
UGGGUUUGACAUACGCCGGAAAGCCUCAUCUCUGAGGCUUUCCGGCGUAUGUCAAACCCAGGUAAGGUUCUUCGCGUUGCAUCGAAUUAAUCCGCAUGCUCCGCCGCUUGUGCGGGCCCCCGUCAAUUCCUUUGAGUUUUAGCCUUGCGGCCGUACUCCCCAGGCGGGGCGCUUAAUGCGUUAGCUGCGGCACGGAACCCAUGGAAUAGGCCCCACACCUAGCGCCCAACGUUUACGGUGUGGACUAC